UCUCUCUCUCUCUCUCUCUCUCUCUCUCUCUCUCUCUCUCUCUCUCUCUCUCUCUCACACACUCACACACACACACACACACACACACAUAUUCACACACAUAUACACACGCAUUAAACAAAGGUGGAGAUCACGUCACCAGAACUACGUGACUGGUAUGUGGCAAUGGAUACAAUGGAGCUGUGUGUGUUUGUACCACUCUUCAUCUUGAUCAAAUACUGGCCUUCAUCGCCACUCAUCACAAUCGUUUAACAGUAUAGUGUGUUUGUAGUUAUUCUAAUAUUGACCGCAUCCUCAGAAGAUACAAGUGAUUCUUCCUACCCACUGUGGUACACAGUCCUAGACUGUGCCUUUAAAUAUCAGCCCCACCCAACCCUCCUGCCCCUCCCUCAAAAGUAGUGAACUCCAGUAGGCGUUUGUGCCUGACAGCUGUCUGUGGUCUGGCAGGGUUGUGAGGGGGUGGUGUGGCUAGCUCUGGGUGAGAUCCUCUAGUAUGGGGAAUUCUGUGGACAUGAAGGGGUAGAGUUACCUUGAACUCACUCCAUUAUUACUGCUCCCUCAGGAGUAGCACACAGGCGAGCUGGGUAAACGUUACUUAAUCACCUCUUAAGCAUGAAGGAUGAGUCUGUUAAUUCACACUUGCCUCAGUUCGAGUGUUUCCCUGUGUGUACUUUGGAGGGGAAUAAUUGUGUUGUUAUUAUUAUUCUAUAAUAUGGUAUUUUUUAUGUAAUAAGAGAAUAACAAACUACAUUCUCUAAUAAUACGCUUUUACUCUGAAAAAGUAACAUCCCUGUGGUUAAUAUAAUAAAUCACAGCCAGUCAUGUCGAGAGCGCAUGAACCUUGUGCUUGUUUUAGCUGAGUGAGCUAGGUGACCGUUUAGGAGCCAAGUUAAUUGUGAUUGAUGGUAAAGCAGGCGAAGGGGGAGUGUUAAACCUUCUUGUCUUCUCCGAGUAAUUAGUAUCCAGCUAGUCGUUCCAUCUGUCUGGCCAAGCUUUCUUUAAUUAAUGAACUUUCUUUCUCCUCCCUGCCAGACUGCUAACACUGGGAUAUAGCUGUUAGUCUCCUCAGGUUAUCCAAAUGGAUGUUGCUUUGUGGUCUUUUUCCCAUGAAUACAACGGAGGUCCUCAUUGAUUAGAUUUCUAUGGGAUUUCUCGGGUCUGUCUUUAUGUGUUGCUGCUUAAACACAGUGAUAAUGAGCAAAUUCCGGCAAGCUUCAGUAUUUGAGUGUAGGUGUGCUUGGAAGUGUGAGAGGAUGUUUGAGUGUGAUUGUGGUUGUAAAAGUAUGACUGGCACUGUGGUUUUGGUUUGUUCUGUUUUGUUUCUUUCUUAUCAGGAUAAAAUUACUUGCAGCAUCAACACUAUCCUCAAUGUGAUACUCAUUCCAAAAAAACGCGUCCUUAGAAACCUCUAGUGUCUCUAGGCGUAUGUGUGUGCUCUCCUUCUCUUUCUCUGAUUUUCCUCUUGCUAAUCGGCCUGGUCAAUUCACGACUGGCCCGUGUUUAAGCACAUUUCCUAUUCUGUGGAUUCCUUUGUCUGAGGCUUGUGCUGAUAAGAAUCCUGCCUCUAGGGCUCUUGUGAUAUUGAAAUUCUCCAAUGCUGAGAAAGAGCCUUCAAUCAUUCAUUAUCAGUUCCACACUGAUUACUAUUCAGUCUCCUCGGUUCCAGGCAGGCGUCUGCACUCUGUCCCACCAGGCUGGGCCUGAAUAGAGCACAGCACUGCUAGCUUAUCCUUGCUUAUCCUACACAUAUCCAAUUCUUUCGCUAAAUGUCACAAAAAUGUCAGCUGCCAUGUAAAAGGUAUUAUGUUCUGUUUUUUCUCUAAUCACAAUUUUUUUAUAUUACAACCUGGAAGACCGCUCUGUGUAUUUUGAAGAUUACAUUUCUCAUUUAUAUAAUUCAUACAAAUUGUUUUUGUUUUUAUUUAGCUAUUCUUUUAUUCAGUGUUAUGCAACAUUGUCCUAAUUAGGCAGGCAAGUCAAAGCAAGGUCCUUAACCCUCAAUUGUUCAGUUGUAUUAAAAAAAGAUAAUGUAAGUUGCUCUCUAUAAUGGCGUCAUGCUAGAAAUGUAAAUCAAAGGUUUAUAUUUUUAUAGAAUAAUUAGAAGACUAAUGUACACUUUGGAUUUUCUCAUCUGGAUCUCAUUUUCAUUAGUCUCAUUUGGACUAAGCAGAUUCUUCAAUUGCAAACACAGUUCUUUGAGCGCUGUUUGUUUAAAGACUGUGGCUCUCUCAGUUUCUCAUUACUGACAAUCUUAAAAGAGGAGGGUUUAGUUGAUUAUUUAUAAGUUCUGCAUUAAUGCCACUUUAUAUAGUUCAAAGGCAGCGAUGGCUCCUCCACACACUGGACAUAAUUGUAUUAUGCUAAAAGAUGUCCUUAUGUUCACCAUUUGCAUCUUUGUACAAAAUGGAGUCCUCUGCAUUGAAAGAUAAACAAAACAACAGCAGAAAACAAGAGCACAACAUAAAAGUGUGUAUCAUGCUUUUGUCCAGCCCUUCUCAACACCAGAGGUGGUCUUUGAUGUGGAAAUGGAGUUUCUUUACAUUCUGAAGUAGAACACUGCAGUAGGUUGCUUAAGAGAUACAAUGGAGGCCUAGGCUGCAAUGCAUCAUUGAUUUUCUUGGAGUUUUGUUGUGUUUCUGUUGAGUUAACUACACACUGGGGUGUAAAGGCAUGAAGAGAAACACAGCCGGUGUUCUUACUCGUACCAUAAACCAUGUGUGAAAAUAAUUGGGUACUACGUUAUUCAUAUAUUUAUUAUUAUUUACAAAGCAUUUCCUCUCUGUCACAGACAUCAACAGGAACAUCUUAGAACUUUUUGUAAACAAUUGGUGGCCAGUAGUAAAGGCUUUCUUUAGUUUCUUUCAUUGGAUUGCAAGGUGUGCGAUUUGUUUCUGAAAUAAAGCACUUAGCAUCUCAUUUCACUGUGCACAUCUUUGCAACAAACAGUGCAUAUAGCCCCUAAUUAGUAUUGAGAGACCCUACAAAUCUAUAGCCAUUGUUAUUCAGAUUGUGUUAUUCAUGCUCAGUGCACAGAGCCCCAAGCUGAGGAUACCAUAGGCUUUGUUAGAAUUUUCAGCAUAUAAAGCAGUAACCCCCUCUUAUUUUUGUUUCCGAUCUCAAAAGCUCUUCGUCCCUCCAGCACAGGCCGAGAAUCUUUCCUCUUCUAACUGUGUUCGUCCUCGCAUAUCCUGUCGACAAACAUUUCAUCAUUUAUCCAGCAUCCCAGAUGAGCUAAAACUUCUAUUAAAAAACUAUAUGCACCGUUUUUCAGUGUUGCACAUUAUUGCCGAUAAAAAGUGGAGUGAAUUUUAUAGCUCAGGGGCGGAGCUCUACAAGUCUUCAUAUGGUCUGUCCUGAGUUGAAUUAAGGCUUUGUUCAAAAUGGUGUAUUUUGUUGACAAGUAUAGCAACAUUCUCAUAUUAUCAGCUGUCUUUAACAACAAGUUGUAAAAGUUCAUUGUCUUGUUGUCCCAUUUAAAACCUUGUCCAUAGCAGCUAACUAAAUGAGCUCCAUGCAGGCAUACUUGUUCUGAGCAGGCUCUUGAUUAACCCUAGAGUGACUGGCUAAUGUCACUGAAGGAGGACCACCUGGUGGGGAGGGGGGCUGUACAGUCAGCUGCCGCUGAAAGCCACUGAAUGCCUUGGACCAGGUGCCAGCUUCCACAGUCUAGCUAAUUGUUGCCGUGUAAUAGUGCGCUUGAUUGCACAGAAUGCCUCAAGGCGAGGAUUAAGGAAGAAAAGAAGAUGAAGGGGAAGAAAAGCUGUUGCCAAACCAGAAUCUGUGUCCUAGAUCCCUGGUUCUGCCUGUGAAGCAGCUGCACUGUGAGUAUGAGUGGAGCUGUCCACAGCACCAUGCCCCAGAUGGAUGCUGGUGAGGUGAGAUGUAAAGGACGUCCCCCUGGAGGUUCAAUUAACCUGUCCUUACCCUCACCCCUCACCACUCCCCUGCACCUUCAGCCUCUGAGCUCUCGGCUUAAUUAGGUCCAAUGGCGUGACAACAGGUACCCUUGCAACAGUGGCCCAGAAAUUCACCAAUCAACACCUGCUGUCCCAUGGGCUCAUGUAGCUGACAGAAAACGGCAUAUAGUCCAAUACUGGGGACAUAAUACCUCUCUCUUCCAUGUUUCCUCUCUUCUUAUGACUUCCCUCACCCCACUGUUUUAAACAUUCUCCGCCCAUAAAAGUGAAAUAUGUGUGAUACACAAACUAAAUUAGGAUUUAGAGCAGAAGAAUUUUACUUGCUUUUUCAGUAAUAAUUCAGAAUGUUCAUAUGUAUAAGUUUUCAACAAUUCAGCAUUUAUUUCUAUUAAAGAGGGACCAGAAUUUAAUGCAUAUCCAUAACAUUUAGGAUUUUCAGCCCCUUGUGAUAUGAGAGACACCUGAAAACAAUUUUCUGAUAUUUCAGGAAAAAAUAUGUAUUUAAAAAAAAUAUAUAGUAAAAUUUAUAUUUCCAGUGGAAAAACUAAUUCAGUUAAAGCUGAAAAGAUGUGGGACAUGAAUGAUAAUGUUUUUGGUAGCAGUAUUACUUUUGCUUCAUGACUGGAUUGAGGUGAACUUUGACCUCUGAAUUUGUGAACCUCGGUUUUGUGAGCCGGUAGCAAACAAGAGGGCGGAGUGUUGUCACUAGUCAGAAGAAUAGUGCUGUUAUUCUUUUCUGCCGUUAACGUUGAGCCGCCUUGUCCACGGACAUUCUCCAAGUUUUUGCAGUAAAAUACUUUUUUCUGUCUUUCUAGUAUUCUAUUGAUUACUAUCCAAUAACAGUGGUUAUUUAUUUGCAGCUGUUUAGAGUAGUUAAGAUGUAGUGACUGUUUAAUUGAUUUGCUGCAGAGUUUUUUUGAGGAAUUGCACCUUUUUGUGCACUGAAAUUCAAAAUUUUAGAAACUGAGAGUAUAUGGAAUAAUCUUGCCUAGACAGUAAUUCACAAGCACCCCCUAGACCCCAUCUCUCGACUGGCCAAUUAUCCUCUUCCUUAGCCGGACAGCAAGGUCAUUGUGAUUGGCUGAGGUUAAUGGCUGGUGCUUGGUUAGAGUGGAGGUCGAGCAUGCGUGGCCACUCUCUACUUCUUCAACUUGUCACUCUUCACACAAGAGCCCAUUUAGUCACUACCAGGGAGAAGGAAAAGGAAAUGUGUUGUUAACCUUGGCUUUGCUCAUGAUAAUGACUUUAAAAAAGUGAAGGAUUUCCUUGUCUUUCUUUACUCAAUAACUGCCUAAUGUAGCAUUAAAAAUACUUAUCCUGCUGAUGUGUCAUUUAGAAAUCCUUUCAGUUAAAUCAUCUAGUUUAUCUAAUAGAAAGUGGCUGUUAAUUUAAGGUUUAUCCAGGCUGUCAACGGUUUCACCUCAUAUAAGCCACAGAAGCUCAUUGCUUUUGAAGAAAUGUCGGGAUUCUCUCUAAACGUGUACUACACCGAAUUUUGCCUACAUCUACUGCCUCAUUACUAAAAAUACACUUGUUACAAAUCACAGAAUGUUCAGUUUUUUGGGGGGUUCAUAUGUUGGCAAGUAAGUUGUUUAUGAUGGUAGUUAUUCACAAUAUUUUGACAAGGUAGUUCCAUCGAAAAUGAAAACUGUCCAGAAAUCCAAAUGAUGUGCAUAUGUAAAUUGACAUCACACUGAAGCAUUAACACAAGCCUUUUGGUAUUUAACCUGCUUUGUAACUUCAAUAUUAUGUACUGGUUUCAUGUUUGUGUUCUUACUCGGAUUUUUUG